rnacentral:sRNA from 1 species
GCUGGGUAUAGUGAUGCACGCCUGUAAUCCCAGCGGCUCAGGAGGCUGGGGCAGGAGGAUCACAAGUUCAAAGCCAGCCUCAGCAGAAGUGUGGCACUAAGCAACUCAGUGAGACCCUGUCUCUA